UACAGAGGGUGCAAGCGUUGUUCGGAAUUACUGGGCAUAAAGCGCGUGUAGGCGGUCUGGUAAGUCGGUCGUGAAAUCCCUGGGCUCAACCCAGGAACUGCGAUCGAAACUGUUAGACUUGAGUAUCGGAGGGGAUGGCGGAAUUCCUGGUGUAGAGGUGAAAUUCGUAGAUAUCAGGAGGAACACCUGUGGCGAAGGCGGCCAUCUGGAAGAUUACUGACGCUGAGACGCGAAAGCGUGGGGAGCAAACAGG
rnacentral:rRNA from 1 species